UGGGGAAUUUUGGACAAUGGGCGAAAGCCUGAUCCAGCAAUGCCGCGUGUGUGAAGAAGGCCUUCGGGUUGUAAAGCACUUUUGUCCGGAAAGAAAUCCUUGGCUCUAAUACAGUCGGGGGAUGACGGUACCGGAAGAAUAAGCACCGGCUAACUACGUGCCAGCAGCCGCGGUAAUACGUAGGGUGCAAGCGUUAAUCGGAAUUACUGGGCGUAAAGCGUGCGCAGGCGGUUUGCUAAGACCGAUGUGAAAUCCCCGGGCUCAACCUGGGAACUGCAUUGGUGACUGGCAGGCUAGAGUAUGGCAGAGGGGGGUAGAAUUCCACGUGUAGCAGUGAAAUGCGUAGAGAUGUGGAGGAAUACCGAUGGCGAAGGCAGCCCCCUGGGCCAAUACUGACGCUCAUGCACGAAAGCGUGGGGGAGCAAACAGGAUUAGAUACCCUGGUAGUCCACGCCCUAAACGAUGUCAACUAGUUGUUGGGGAUUCAUUUCCUUAGUAACGUAGCUAACGCGUGAAGUUGACCGCCUGGGGAGUACGGUCGCAAGAUUAAAACUUAAAUAAAUUGACGGGGUCAUAGCUGUUUCCU
rnacentral:rRNA from 1 species